rnacentral:rRNA from 1 species
UACGUAGGAGACAAGCGUUGUCCGGAAUUACUGGGUGUAAAGCGCACGUAGGCGGCUUUGUAAGUUAGAGGUGAAAGCCCGGGGCUCAACUCCGGAACUGCCUUUAAGACUGCAUCGCUUGAAUCCGGGAGAGGUGAGUGGAAUUCCGAGUGUAGAGGUGAAAUUCGUAGAUAUUCGGAAGAACACCAGUGGCGAAGGCGGCUCACUGGACCGGUAUUGACGCUGAGGUGCGAAAGCGUGGGGAGCAAACAGG